rnacentral:rRNA from 1 species
AAAAGACUUAGUCCUAACCUUACCGUUAAUUUUUGCUAAACAUAUACAUGCAAGUAUCCGCGUCCCAGUGUAAAUGCCCUUAUUCUCUUACUAAGAAAGAAGGAGCGGGUAUCAGGCACACCUAAGUUGUAGCCCAAGACGCCUUGCUCAGCCACACCCCCACGGGUACUCAGCAGUAAUUAACAUUAAGCAAUGAGUGAAAACUUGACUUAGUCAUAGCAACUUCAGGGUUGGUAAAUCUUGUGCCAGCCACCGCGGUCACACAAGAGACCCAAAUUAACUGUAUACGGCGUAAAGAGUGGUAUCAUAUUAUCACAACAACUAAGACCGAAGUGCAACUGAGCUGUCAUAAGCCCAAGAUGUGCCUAAGACCCCCCUUAAGACGAUCUUAGCAUUUUUGAUCAACUUAACUCCACGAAAGCUAAGACACAAACUGGGAUUAGAUACCCCACUAUGCUUAGCCCUAAAUCUUGAUGCUUCUUUCAUACUAAAGCAUCCGCCUGAGAACUACGAGCACAAACGCUUAAAACUCUAAGGACUUGGCGGUGCCCCAAACCCACCUAGAGGAGCCUGUUCUAUAAUCGAUAACCCACGUUACACCCGACCGCCCCUUGCCAGAGCAGCCUACAUACCGCCGUCGCCAGCUCACCUCUUCUGAGAGCCCAACAGUGAGCACAAUAGCCCAACCACGCUAGUAAGACAGGUCGAGGUAUAGCCCACGGGACGGAAGAAAUGGGCUACAUUUUCUAAAAUAGAAAACUUACGGAAGGGGGCAUGAAAUUUGGCCCCCCGAAGGCGGAUUUAGCAGUAAAGCGGGACAAUAUAAGCCCCCUUUAAGCUGGCCCUGGGGCACGUACAUACCGCCCGUCACCCUCCUCACAAGCUACACUCACAUAAUACCUAAUACAAUCCCUAGCUGAAGAUGAGGUAAGUCGUAACAAGGUAAGUGUACCGGAAGGUGCACUUAGUAUACC